UAGUACUCCCUAGGGCAGCUU
rnacentral:miRNA from 1 species